UACGAAGGGGGCUAGCGUUGCUCGGAAUUACUGGGCGUAAAGCGCACGUAGGCGGCUUCUUAAGUCGGUGGUGAAAUCCUGGAGCUCAACUCCAGAACUGCCUUCGAUACUGGGAGCUCGAGUCCGGGAGAGGUGAGUGGAACUGCGAGUGUAGAGGUGAAAUUCGUAGAUAUUCGCAAGAACACCAGUGGCGAAGGCGGCUCACUGGCCCGAUACUGACGCUGAGGCA
rnacentral:rRNA from 1 species